rnacentral:rRNA from 2 species
CACGCCGUAAACGAUGGAUACUAGCUGUUGGGUGCAAACUCAGUGGCUAAGCGAAAGUGAUAAGUAUCCCACCUGGGGAGUACGUUCGCAAGAAUGAAACUCAAAGGAAUUGACGGGGGCCCGCACAAGCGGUGGAGCAUGUGGUUUAAUUCGAUGAUACGCGAGGAACCUUACCAAGGCUUAAAUGUAGAUUGACCGGUUUGGAAACAGACUUUUCGCAAGACAAUUUACAAGGUGC